rnacentral:rRNA from 1 species
AACGAACGCUGGCGGCGUGCCUAACACAUGCAAGUCGAACGAGAAUUUUCCUUUCGGGGGAAUAGUAAAGUGGCGCAAGGGUGAGUAACACGUGAAUAAUCUGCCUACGAAUUCGGGAUAACGCGGGGAAACCUGUGCUAAUACCGGAUAAGACCACGUCUCUUAUGUGAUGUGGCCAAAGGAGUCUCAAACUCCGUUUGUAGAUGAGUUCGCGGACCAUUAGCUUGUUGGAGGGAUAACAGCCCCCCAAGGCGACGAUGGUUAGCCGGCCUGAGAGGGUGAUCGGCCACACUGGGAACCUGAGACACGGUCCGGACUCCUACGGGAGGGCAGCAGUGGGGGAAUAUUGCGCAAUGGGCGAAAGCCUGACGCAGCAACGCCGCGUGAGGGACUG